rnacentral:rRNA from 1 species
AGCAGCCGCGGUAAUUCCAGCUCCAAUAGCGUAUAUUAAAGUUGUUGCAGUUAAAAAGCUCGUAGUUGAAUUUUAGGCCUGACCGGGCGGUCCGUCUUUGGCGAGUACUGUCCUGUGUCGGGUCCACCUUCUGGUGAACCAGUAUGUCCUUUAUUGGGUGUGCCGGGGAGCCAGGACCAUUACCUUGAAAAAAUUAGAGUGUUUAAAGCAGGCAUUUGCUUGAAUAGAUUAGCAUGGAAUAAUAGAAUAGGACGUUGUGGUUCUAUUUUGUUGGUUUCUAGGACCACCGUAAUGAUUAAUAGGGAUAGUUGGGGGCAUUAGUAUUCAAUUGUCAGAGGUGAAAUUCUUGGAUUUAUUGAAGACUAACUAUUGCGAAAGCAUUUGCCAAGGAUGCUUUCAUUAAUCAAGAACGAAAGUUAGGGGAUCGAAGACGAUCAGAUACCGUCGUAGUCUUAACCAUAAACUAUGCCGACUAGGAAUCGGGCGACGUAUUUUCAUGACUCGCUCGGCGCCUUA